rnacentral:rRNA from 1 species
AGUUGUGGACAACGUGAGUAAACUGAAACAACUCUCAGCAACGGAUAUCUUGGCUCUUGCAACGAUGAAGAACGCAGCGAAAUGCGAUACGUAGUGUGAAUUGCAGAAUUCCGCGAAUCAUCGAGUCUUUGAACGCAAGUUGCGCCCGAGGCUUGUCCAAGGGCAUUUCCGCUAGAGCGUCACCGCGCACCCCCACCGACCCACUCCCGUUCGCGGCGAGUCGGGUCGAGUGAAAGUGGCCGUCCCGAGCGGUGGGGGCCCGUCGGGCCUUCACUUGGAAGGGUGGGCUGAAAUGGAUGGAAUUGGGCCGCCGUGGUGUGAUGCAGUCCGCGAUCGGGUGAUCCGAGCUCCUCCGGGAGUCCGGACUUUUUCUAAGUGCGUGGCUGCGUCCCCCCAGUCGGUCCGUGGUUACCCUAGGUCGAUGCGCGCCCGCGAGGCGCGCGUCACGCAUCGGACCUCUAAUCGGAAAAGACUACCCGCUGAG